rnacentral:tRNA from 1 species
GGAGAGAACAGCUCAGUGGUAGAGCACGUGCAAGCAUGAGGUCCUGGGUUCAAUCCCCAGUACCUCCA